UACGGGGGGAGCAAGCGUUGUUCGGAUUUACUGGGCGUAAAGGGCGCGUAGGCGGCCACCGCAAGUCGACUGUGAAAUCUCCGGGCUUAACCCGGAAAGGUCAGCCGAUACUGCGGGGCUAGAGUGCAGAAGGGGCAACUGGGAAUUCUCGGUGUAGCGGUGAAAUGCGUAGAUAUCGAGAGGAACACCUGCGGCGAAAGGCGGGUUGCUGGGCUGACACUGACGCUGAGGCGCGAAAGCUAGGGGAGCGAACGGG
rnacentral:rRNA from 1 species